rnacentral:rRNA from 1 species
AACGAACGCUGGCGGCAGGCUUAACACAUGCAAGUCGAACGCCCCGCAAGGGGAGUGGCAGACGGGUGAGUAACGCGUGGGAAUCUACAGAGCCCUGCGGAAUAGCUCCGGGAAACUGGAAUUACUACCGCAUACGCCCUUUUGGGGAAAGAUUUAUCGGGGUUUGAUGAGCCCGCGUUGGAUUAGCUAGUUGGUGGGGUAAAGGCCUACCAAGGCGACGAUCCAUAGCUGGUCUGAGAGGAUGAUCAGCCACAUUGGGACUGAGACACGGCCCAAACUCCUACGGGAGGCAGCAGUGGGGAAUAUUGGACAAUGGGCGCAAGCCUGAUCCAGCCAUGCCGCGUGAGUGAUGAAGGUCUUAGGAUUGUAAAGCUCUUUCACCGGAGAAGAUAAUGACGGUAUCCGGAGAAGAAGCCCCGGCUAACUUCGUGCCAGCCGCCGCGGUAAAAC